rnacentral:tRNA from 1 species
UGGCUUAGUGGUAGAGUGCUUGCCUAACAUGCAUGAGACCCUGGGUUCGAUUCCUUG